rnacentral:rRNA from 1 species
CGUAGGCUUGUGGAGCAGGAAAAUCCGUUUCACUUUAAGGCUGAGAUCCGACGACGAAAGCCGCAAGGCUGUAAAGUGACUGAUCCUCGGCUGCCAAGAAAACCCUCUAAGCAUAGGUAUAUUCAAACCGUACCGUAAACCGACACAGGUAGGUGAGAAGAGAAUUCUAAGGCGCUUGAGAGAAACCACGUUAAGGAACUCUGCAAAUUGAGUCCGUAACUUCGGGAUAAGGACUGCCGAUAUUAGGUGAAGUGAUUUACUCACAGAGCUGAGGUCGGCCCCAGAAAAGAGGUCCAGGCGACUGUUUACCAAAAACACAGCACUAUGCAAACACGUAAGUGGACGUAUAUGGUGUGACUCCUGCCCGGUGCCGGAAGGUUAAGAGGAGGGGUUAGACUUCGGUCGAAGCUCUGAAUUGAAGCCCCGGUAAACGGCGGCCGUAACUAUAACGGUCCUAAGGUAGCGAAAUUCCUUGUCGGGUAAGUUCCGACCUGCACGAAAGGAGUAACGAUCUGGACGCUGUCUCAACGUGGUUCUCAGUGAAAUUGAAAUAGCGGUGAAGAUACCGUUAACCCGCGGCAAGACGGAAAGACCCCGUGAACCUUUACUGCAGCUUGGCAUUGAAUUUUGGAAUAUUGUGUGCAGGAUAGGUAGGAGACAUUGAAUAGGAGACGCUAGUCUUCUAGGAGUCACUGUUGAGAUACUACCCUCGGUAUUUUAGGGUUCUAACUUUGGUCCCUUAUCGGGAUUGAGGACAGUGUCUGGUGGGCGGUUUGACUGGGGCGGUCACCUCCUAAAGAGUAACGGAGGUGUGCAAAGGUAAUUUUAAGAAAGUUUUUACUUUUCUUUAAUGUACAAUGGCGUAAAAGUGCCUGACUGUGAGAUUAACAAAUCAAACAGGGACGCAAGUCGGCCAUAGCGAUCCGGUAUUUCUGUGUGGAAAGGGUAUCGCCAACGGAUAAAAGGUACGCCAGGGAUAACAGGCUAAUGGCUCCUAAGAGUUCCUAUCGCCGGAGCCGUUUGGCACCUCGAUGUCGGCUUAUCACAUCCCGGAGCUGGAGAAGGUUCCAAGGGUUCGGUUGUUCGCCGAUUAAAGUGGUACGUGAGCUGGGUUUAGAACGUCGUAAGACAGUUUGGUCCCUAUCUACUGUAAGUGUAAGAAAAUUGAAAAGAUUAUUCUCUAGUACGAGAGGACCGAGAAACGCAAAUCUCUGGUGUGCUGGUUGUCCCCUAUGCAAUGUCAGGUAGCUAUAUUUGUUUUAGAUAACUGCUGAAAGCAUCUAAGUAGGAAACUGACUUUAAGAUCAUUUUUCUGUGAACCGUAAAAGAAGAUUACUUAAAUUAUGAUAGAUCCCUCGUAGAAGAUUGAUAUUUGUAAAUAAUCUUUAAGCGUAAGAUAUGAAAACUAAAGGUUUUAAAGAUUUGAUUGU